rnacentral:rRNA from 1 species
UACGUAGGGUGCGAGCGUUAAUCGGAAUUACUGGGCGUAAAGCGUGCGCAGGCGGUUAUAUAAGACAGUUGUGAAAUCCCCGGGCUCAACCUGGGAAUUGCAUCUGUGACUGUAUAGCUAGAGUACGGUAGAGGGGGGAUGGAAUUCCGCGUGUAGCAGUGAAAUGCGUAGAUAUGCGGAGGAACACCGAUGGCGAAGGCAAUCCCCUGGACCUGUACUGACGCUCAUGCACGAAAGCGUGGGGAGCAAACAGG